UUUGAUUAUACUCACAUUUCAGGAACUGUAGGCAAUUCAGCAUUGAAGAAAAUAAAGGUAGAAACUUCCUCUAAGAAUGUCAGGAAUUGGGUACGGAACAACGGGGUUAUAGGAUUCUUAUGUUGGUCUAUCAAACGUGUGGCAAUUUUUGGUGGACCUGAUCCAUGGGGCAGGGUGUGAGCAUAAAUGAAGAAACCUGCUAAACUGCAAAACCCAAAAGUAAAUAUUUAAAUCCGCAUCGGACGAAACAUGCUUCCGUGUGCAAUUACGCGCAAGGGAAGAUGAACUGGAGAUUGUCGUCGUCAUAGUGAUAGCCAUUGCCUGUAUAUAAUUUUUUUUUAAGUGAAUACGUUUUAGGACAACUCGGUGCCGGUUACGCAGAGUGGCACAUUGGGUAACUUUUGUUGUAAGAUGUUGUUCUGACUUCUAAACCUUCCGCCAGAGAAGAAAAUGUGUGCGACCAACUACAGACACGGAAGCGAAGACGACUUCAAGAAGAGACAAGAUACUGUGGGCGACGAUCUGCGCGUUCCCACUACAACGUGGAGACGGAUAUUGUUGCUUCGGCUUCCUUGAAGUAUUGAGUUUGCCC